rnacentral:lncRNA from 1 species
UUCUUAUCACACUUUUGGAUGGUAGUGAAAAUUCCAUUCUUCAGCCAGAAAUUCUGAGACUAACUUCUUUGCUUAUGAGGUAUCAGAGCACCAGGAUUUUUCAAACUGAAAUUAGCCGCAUACUCGAAGAAGCAGAAAAUACUAAAUUCCCAGAACUUUCUGAUGCCACAAUCGGUGCUCUUCGCUCCUUCCUUCUUCAGCUUCAAAGUGAAAAAGUUCAAGCAGAUUCAUCCCACAGAGCAUCUGUCCAAACCUUGUUGGAGAAACUCCCAUUAAGGAGCAGUCAGCAGAAUCCUCAAGGCAUGGUGUAUCCUUUGUCAGAAAAAUGCAUUUGAAAUUGCU